AUGGAAGCAAACGCUGCCAACAGGAACGGCGGCUCCCAAGGGGUGAGGGUGCCAUUGUCCUUGUUUGCUGUGGAAUACAGCAGCAAGAAGCGGCUUCUGUUUGAUGUUUCGAGUGGAAAUAUCCGCGGGAUAAGCAGCACGUUGUUUCCAGAUGCCUUUGUUGAAUUCGAGAACCGCGGCUGGCUUCUCAUGGUCCGACACAAGCCAUUUUACUUCUAAGAGCAGAUUGUCUUUCUAGUCCACCCUACCACCGGCAGGCGGAUCCACCUGCCGGUCCUUCACUCUCCAAACAAAGGAUACUUUGUGUUCUAUGUUGAUCCUCGUGGAGCACCGCUCGUCGUUGCAUGUGUCCAGAUCAAGAGUGUUGUUCCGACUGUCCAUGUCACGUGUCAUGGGGACGUGUACUGGUGCGUCCACAAGCAUACCAGUAAUCUGCACCCGUCAGAAGCAAUGCGCAGACCAAUGGACAAUACUUGGAUCUUGGAUCGGGACACCGGACACAGGCUGUCUGUGCCGAAUUCCUUGGGCAGAUCCUGAUCUUCGACAUCACAGACAGAGAUGACCUGGAGAACUGCCUCUUGUCCAGAGUGGAGCAUAAAAGAUGCACAUUACCUUGUUGCGUCCAAUGGGGAAGUUGUGAUCGUAUCGUGUCUUCGUGUGAACGCGGGAAGUGCUUUCAAGUUCUUCAAGAUGGACAUGGAAGCUUUGGAAUGGUCGCCGCUCGAUGGCCAGGAGCUGGAUGACACCAGCUGGUUUCUUUGCAAGGGUCAGUCUAUCCGUGUGAAGGAAGAAGGCAAAAGGAAAGUCUACACAUUCAAUCCCAUACAAUGCAGUGGCUCAGUGACAGAGAGCUCACAUGGAAAAAAGGCAACCACCACAUCAGGUCCUCCCUCAUUGAAGACCAUCACAAAUAUUUAUGCAUAUGAUUUAGUUUCUGGGACUGUUGAGACGGUUAUACCGGCAUCGAUCGUAACGGAAGUGCGCCGCUGGAUUCAACCUAGUAUGUUUGCUACGCCAACAAAAUAA
rnacentral:rRNA from 1 species